GUGUAGCGCUGGAGAUGACCUAAGGAGACCUAGUGUAUUGCUUAAAUAGGCUUCUAUUACUAACCAACUCUUCUCAAGAGAUGGUGGAAAGGCUCACAUUAAUGGGCUGUACUAGUGAAAGUUCAGAAGCCCACUUGGAGGAACAAUUGGUGGAACCAGUAAUUCAAUUCAUGCUUUCUUGGGAUCUCCAAAUCUUGAGACUAUACGGGUGAAAGGCCAAAUUUUGGGGCAUAAAGUGUGGUGCUAAUUGAUACCAGCAGCACCCACAACUUUGUGGAUCCUGCCAUUCCAAAGAGGGCCCAUGUGCAGAUAGAAACUUCUAAAGAGUUGUUAGUUAAGGUAGCCAAUGGAGAUACUGAUUAUAGUUCUGGGAGGUGCUCUGAUCUGCCCUUGAAGGUACAGGGCAAAACCUACAUAGUAGAUUUCUAUGUAGUUCUGGGAGUUCAAUGAAUGGGCAUUGUGGGGUCAAUCUUUUUGGAUUUUGACAAGUUUAAUGGAGUUCAAGUUAGGAGACCAACAACAUUGCUUGCAAGGUAUUCCUCCCUCUGAUAAAACUAAGGGUACUAAGUUUGGUAGAGCUAACAUGGUUAAAU
rnacentral:lncRNA from 1 species